rnacentral:rRNA from 1 species
ACGGAGGGUGCGAGCGUUAAUCGGAAUUACUGGGCGUAAAGCGCACGUAGUCGGCUUGCCAAGUCGGGUGUGAAAUCCCCGGGCUCAACCUGGGAACUGCAUCCGAAACUGGCUUGCUAGAGUAUGGGAGAGGGAGGCGGAAUUUCUGGUGUAGCAGUGAAAUGCGUAGAUAUCAGAAGGAACAUCAGUGGCGAAGGCGGCCUCCUGGACCAAUACUGACGAUCAGGUGCGAAAGCGUGGGGAGCAAACAGGAUUAGAUACCCUGGUAGUCCACGCCCUAAACGAUGUCAACUGGUUGUUGGACGGCUUGCUGUUCAGUAACGAAGCUAACGCGUGAAGUUGACCGCCUGGGGAGUACGGCCGCAGGGUUG